GUGGGGAAUAUUGCGCAAUGGGGGGAACCCUGACGCAGCCAUGCCGCGUGAAUGAAGAAGGCCUUCGGGUUGUAAAGUUCUUUCGGUAUUGAGGAAGGUUGAUGUGUUAAUAGCACAUCAAAUUGACGUUAAAUACAGAAGAAGCACCGGCUAACUCCGUGCCAGCAGCCGCGGUAAUACGGAGGGUGCGAGCGUUAAUCGGAAUAACUGGGCGUAAAGGGCACGCAGGCGGUUAUUUAAGUGAGGUGUGAAAGCCCCGGGCUUAACCUGGGAAUUGCAUUUCAGACUGGGUAACUAGAGUACUUUAGGGAGGGGUAGAAUUCCACGUGUAGCGGUGAAAUGCGUAGAGAUGUGGAGGAAUACCGAAGGCGAAGGCAGCCCCUUGGGAAUGUACUGACGCUCAUGUGCGAAAGCGUGGGGAGCAA
rnacentral:rRNA from 1 species